UGUUUGCACUUAGCGGGAAGGGUAAGAACCUUCGACUAAGGUUCGACUCGAGCGCCAGCGAGAGAACGUUGCCACAGGCAACGGCCCGAAGGG
rnacentral:sRNA from 1 species